rnacentral:rRNA from 1 species
GGGUUGUGAGGUUAAGCGACUAAGCGUACACGGUGGAUGCCCUGGCAGUCAGAGGCGAUGAAGGGCGUGCUAAUCUGCGAUAAGCGCCGGUAAGGUGAUAUGAACCGUUAUAACCGGCGAUACCCGAAUGGGGAAACCCAGUGUGACUCGUCACACUAUCAUUAACUGAAUCCAUAGGUUAAUGAGGCGAACCGGGGGAACUGAAACAUCUAAGUACCCCGAGGAAAAGAAAUCAACCGAGAUUCCCCCAGUAGCGGCGAGCGAACGGGGAGGAGCCCAGAGCCUGAAUCAGCAUGUGUGUUAGUGGAAGCGUCUGGAAAGGCGUGCGAUACAGGGUGACAGCCCCGUACACAAAAGCGCAUGUGCUGUGAGCUCGAUGAGUAGGGCGGGACACGUGGUAUCCUGUCUGAAUAUGGGGGGACCAUCCUCCAAGGCUAAAUACUCCUGACUGACCGAUAGUGAACCAGUACCGUGAGGGAAAGGCGAAAAGAACCCCGGCGAGGGGAGUGAAAAAGAACCUGAAACCGUGUACGUACAAGCAGUGGGAGCACAGGUUUACCUGUGUGACUGCGUACCUUUUGUAUAAUGGGUCAGCGACUUAUAUUCUGUAGCAAGGUUAACCGAAUAGGGGAGCCGGAGGGAAACCGAGUCUUAAUUGGGCGUUAAGUUGCAGGGUAUAGACCCGAAACCCGGUGAUCUAGCCAUGGGCAGGUUGAAGGUUGGGUAACACUAACUGGAGGACCGAACCGACUAAUGUUGAAAAAUUAGCGGAUGACCUGUGGCUGGGGGUGAAAGGCCAAUCAAACCGGGAGAUAGCUGGUUCUCCCCGAAAGCUAUUUAGGUAGCGCCUCGUGAAUUCAUCUCCGGGGGUAGAGCACUGUUUCGGCUAGGGGGCCAUCCCGGCUUACCAACCCGAUGCAAACUGCGAAUACCGGAGAAUGUUAUCACGGGAGACACACGGCGGGUGCUAACGUCCGUCGUGAAGAGGGAAACAACCCAGACCGCCAGCUAAGGUCCCAAAGUCAUGGUUAAGUGGGAAACGAUGUGGGAAGGCCCAGACAGCCAGGAUGUUGGCUUAGAAGCAGCCAUCAUUUAAAGAAAGCGUAAUAGCUCACUGGUCGAGUCGGCCUGCGCGGAAGAUGUAACGGGGCUAAACCAUGCACCGAAGCUGCGGCAGCGACACUGUGUGUUGUUGGGUAGGGGAGCGUUCUGUAAGCCUGCGAAGGUGGCCUGUGAGGGUUGCUGGAGGUAUCAGAAGUGCGAAUGCUGACAUAAGUAACGAUAAAGCGGGUGAAAAGCCCGCUCGCCGGAAGACCAAGGGUUCCUGUCCAACGUUAAUCGGGGCAGGGUGAGUCGACCCCUAAGGCGAGGCCGAAAGGCGUAGUCGAUGGGAAACGGGUUAAUAUUCCCGUACUUGGUGUUACUGCGAAGGGGGGACGGAGAAGGCUAUGUUGGCCGGGCGACGGUUGUCCCGGUUUAAGCGUGUAGGUGUGUGUUCCAGGUAAAUCCGGUUCACUUUAACACUGAGGCGUGACGACGAGGCACUACGGUGCUGAAGCAACAAAUGCCCUGCUUCCAGGAAAAGCCUCUAAGCAUCAGGUAACACGAAAUCGUACCCCAAACCGACACAGGUGGUCAGGUAGAGAAUACCAAGGCGCUUGAGAGAACUCGGGUGAAGGAACUAGGCAAAAUGGUGCCGUAACUUCGGGAGAAGGCACGCUGACACGUAGGUGAAGUGAUUUACUCAUGGAGCUGAAGUCAGUCGAAGAUACCAGCUGGCUGCAACUGUUUAUUAAAAACACAGCACUGUGCAAACACGAAAGUGGACGUAUACGGUGUGACGCCUGCCCGGUGCCGGAAGGUUAAUUGAUGGGGUCAGCGCAAGCGAAGCUCCUGAUCGAAGCCCCGGUAAACGGCGGCCGUAACUAUAACGGUCCUAAGGUAGCGAAAUUCCUUGUCGGGUAAGUUCCGACCUGCACGAAUGGCGUAAUGAUGGCCAGGCUGUCUCCACCCGAGACUCAGUGAAAUUGAACUCGCUGUGAAGAUGCAGUGUACCCGCGGCAAGACGGAAAGACCCCGUGAACCUUUACUAUAGCUUGACACUGAACAUUGAGCCUUGAUGUGUAGGAUAGGUGGGAGGCUUUGAAGUGUGGACGCCAGUCUGCAUGGAGCCGACCUUGAAAUACCACCCUUUAAUGUUUGAUGUUCUAACGUGGACCCGUUACCCGGGUUGCGGACAGUGUCUGGUGGGUAGUUUGACUGGGGCGGUCUCCUCCUAAAGAGUAACGGAGGAGCACGAAGGUUGGCUAAUCCUGGUCGGACAUCAGGAGGUUAGUGCAAUGGCAUAAGCCAGCUUGACUGCGAGCGUGACGGCGCGAGCAGGUGCGAAAGCAGGUCAUAGUGAUCCGGUGGUUCUGAAUGGAAGGGCCAUCGCUCAACGGAUAAAAGGUACUCCGGGGAUAACAGGCUGAUACCGCCCAAGAGUUCAUAUCGACGGCGGUGUUUGGCACCUCGAUGUCGGCUCAUCACAUCCUGGGGCUGAAGUAGGUCCCAAGGGUAUGGCUGUUCGCCAUUUAAAGUGGUACGCGAGCUGGGUUUAGAACGUCGUGAGACAGUUCGGUCCCUAUCUGCCGUGGGCGCUGGAGAACUGAGGGGGGCUGCUCCUAGUACGAGAGGACCGGAGUGGACGCAUCACUGGUGUUCGGGUUGUCAUGCCAAUGGCACUGCCCGGUAGCUAAAUGCGGAAGAGAUAAGUGCUGAAAGCAUCUAAGCACGAAACUUGCCCCGAGAUGAGUUCUCCCUGAGACUUAGAGUCUCCUGAAGGAACGUUGAAGACGACGACGUUGAUAGGCCGGGUGUGUAAGCGCAGCGAUGCGUUGAGCUAACCGGUACUAAUGAACCGUGAGGCUUAACCUUACAACGCCGAAG